AUAAGAUUAAGUUAGAUUAGACUAAAUGUUUUCAAAACAUUAAGCGGUGUUUACACCAUCUUAUG
rnacentral:tRNA from 1 species